CUGGUGGACUGUUAUCACAGGAUAAUGAAAUGAAAUGGAAGACAGCUGAAAUUAAAUACAACAAAGUAAAAUAAAGUAACAACACAAGAGGAAAAAAGGUACCAAACCAUCUGAUAAAAGGUUCAGAUUCCACUACUUAUAAGGUAUUACUCUGGCUGUCGGCUGUAAAAUACAUUGUGGAGAGACAGGAGAAGCAGGAAGCCCAGUGGAGAGGAUGUUGCAAAAAUUCUGGCACAAGAGGAGACUGGAGGAGAUGGUGGUGGUGGAGACACAGGCAGAUUAGAGGAGAAUGCUGGUGGUAAGGAUAGAGGCAGAGUGUAUUUGACAGACUAAUGGCAGAAAAGCACCCCAGGAGGACAAGUGUGUAUCAUUGUGGAGGCCUCAGAGGAUCUGGACAGUCAUCCUGCCACUACCUGGAGCUCACAGUGUGGCCUUAGGACCGCACACCCCUCAGAGAGGAAUCUUAGAGAAAGUACCUAGGAGAAGUGAAUCCUGGUAAAUGUUUAACAACCAGCUCUGUCUGUCUGUCUCUCUCUCGCUCUCAAAAAAAAAAAAAAAAAAAAUCUUGAUCUGUAGUGUUCACUGAUUUCCAUGAUGUAAAUAUACCAGUUUCAAGCUCCUUCUGAGACAAAUGUGGAUUGGGAAGAGAUGAACAGCAGCAUUAAAUACAAUUAAAGA